GGGGGGAAUCCACAACUUCUGAAUCAGUUUUGUUCCAUAACACUCCCCAGAUAUGGAUUCCAUAUAUAAAUAUACCGUCAUGCGGUGGAUCUCUUAUCUAAAAACAAAAAGGAUAAAUAAGCUGUGAGUGUUGGAGGAAUGAUUGGAAGGUUGGAGGUGAAUUAAUCGGUAUCUUGGAGCGUGCUAAUCAAGAAGUUCCAGGGGAGCUGUUUGAUAUGGCUGAAAGAUACCGGCAAUUAAAGAUAAAGAAGGAUAGCGAAAGAGACCUAAUACCCAGCAAGGGAUGCUGGCGAGAAAACUUUUGAUUUCAGAGUAUGAAUAUCACUCUUACUAAAGAAGAGGUUUUUCUAAGCAACUGAUUAAACAUUUUGAAUGGU